UCCAUUGAUAAUUCUUCUUGACAAAAUGUGGGUCUGAUUCAAAAGAUCCCACCAGAAAAGGCUUGGAAGCCCAGUUGCCAGCUGAAAGACCUAAGGAAGAAGGAAAGGAUGUUACCUAUUCCAGCAGAAGACCAGUGAAGGACACACAACCUGUAUGCCCUUUCUGUGUAUGAAGCUGGAAUUUCUCCCCUCACCAUGGAAGAACAAUGCUUAUUUCACGUCUGUGUAUUUUCAGGCCUGGUUUGACCAAAAGUUGGCAUACUUAGCCUAGACACGUGUUUCUGUCAGAAGUUUGUGAAUCUCUAGCAGAUUUUAUGAUCAUCUAUUUUUCAUGUGUGCAGAAAAAGCACACAUGGCUUCACUCAAGUGCACAGGCAAUAGGGAGCUCUUUGCCUACAUGCAGUUUUACAGAUUUUAUACAGCUUUCAGCUAAAUCACAUAUCUCCAUGCAAAGUAUGCCACUCUUGGAUAUCACAUGGAUUUUUAAUGCUCUGAGGGAUCCUUUGGGUCUAUAAACAACAAGUAGAUUACAUUCAUCUACAUCAUGACAGACUUUCCCCCCUUCUUGCUUGUGAGACAAAAUAUGGCUCUUGUUCUUCCCUGGAACUAGUAUGGAAUCCAAGCACAACUCAUGUACAGUUAUGAGAAAACCCUGCCAUAUUUUUCAUUGUAAUUAACUGCUUCGGAGCAAGACUUCUCAUGUAUAAAGAUGAAGAAAGGUCUCAGCUUUGCCUGAAAGACAAGUUGCCUUUCAGCAAUGUCUCACACUUUGAGUUUUGACUGAAACAUUCCACUGCUUUGGUGACCUGUUGUGCCAAAAAGCUGCCUUGUGUUACGCUUCACUUUCAGCUGAAUUUGCCAGCGCAUGCCAAGGGACAGAACAAAGUAUUGCAAUUUAUACUGGAACACUAUUUUGUGUUGCUCCACACAUGAAAUCGAUGUCAGUAAAAAGUGCACAAAGGGCAUGGAAAACGUAAAUAAAUACUGUGAUCCUUUUACCUUCAGUUUUAAAUAAAUGGAUUGAAAUGCAUGGAUCCUAAAGAUUUAUGAAUCCGUUUAUAGUCCAUUCUGGAGUUUUAACAUUUCAUGCAGCUUGUAGGAGGGAGUGUAUUAUUUAUAAAAAGUCAUGGUUAUUCAGCAGUGUUUAUUUCUGAAGAGCAACAAAAUACCUUCAAGGGGAAGAAGAAAUUCAUAACUCUGGUUUACUACCAGGGUUAGCCACUUAAAAGUCUUUUCUCAUGACUGAUUUACAAAGACCUUUGCUCUUCUGAGCAUGUUUGGAACACUGGACAUUUUGCCACCAGCAGUAGGAAUCACCUCCAUCUCUCAGGACAGACAGCACUGCAAUAGAUUCAGAGAGGUGGUGGUGGGGGAACCUUUACUGUUGGGGAGAUAUUUGAACUUUACUUUUGCUGCCCUUUUCCCAGCACAGUAUUGAAUGGAAAUUCAGAAGUAGGGCCUGCAGGGAGAAAAUCCACAGCAGCUAUUCACAGAUACCAUUUCUGUGUGACACCAGUUUCUUGGCCAUGUGAACAAUUUCUUCCGUCUGAUGAAAUGUAACAUCCAUUUCUUGUUUUCAUUUUCAGUCUUUGGGCUCCUUUGCCCAAAGCUGUUUAUAAGACAAAGUGCCUGAAAGGAUUAUAAUGUAAACAUAAGUGCAGCCUUAGCAUACCUUUGGUCUUUCUAUCUACUUUACCUCAUUGGAAUUGCAGUGAUUGCUUUUCUUCCUAGCAGGUAAUAAAUCAGUUUCAAUGAAAAAGAAAAAGAACUCAGACAUAAACCAGUAUUUUCAAAUAGUGUUUCUCAGUCAACUUUUAUCUUCACCCUCUGUGAAAGUGGAGCUUGCAGAAGUUGCAUUUGGCUCACCUCAACUGACCACACUGUAUCCUUCUAGCUAUGAAAAAUUCCUCAAGCCACCAAGGGAAGUUCAUAGUUUAACUGAACAAACCCCAGUCUGACCUGUCCCUCCUGUCUCUGCUUGGCAGUGCUGUCUACAGAAACACCUGAACUGUGUCUAUGUGUAGAGCAGAGAGCCCAGCCACAGACAGAUGCAGCACUGCUCAUCAUAGGAGCCAUUUCUGGCUUGUCUCCAGCAGAGCCUUGAGGCCAGGUGGAUGGUGCUGCUCAGGGAUAAGAGGGAGACUCUCUGUGGUUAAUAGCUCCUGAUAGGUUUUAUUUCCAUGGAUUUUCCAUGAACCACAUGAACAUAUGGCAGCCAGGAGGACCUGUGGUCACGAGCUUCAUGAGCCGUGUGAGAAGGUAACUUUCCUAAACUCAGCACCUGCUAACAUAAUUUGAUACUCCUACUGCAUGCAUUAUGAAACAAUAAACAAUCAUUUUGUAUUCAGCACCUUGUGCCAGCCCUUAUCUGUAAACCCUGUUCUGUGUCUUCUGAUAUAUUGCUAAAUCAUUCUAACAGAUAACAUUCUGCCCAUGCUUUCCUUUGAGCAGGGAUGGAGAUCUGGCACCUGUGUCCCUGCUCAUGAGAGGCAUCAAUGGGCAGUGUCUGACCACUGCAUGCACUGCCAGCAGGAGUGUCCCUCCCACAGUCCUGAGUGUCCCUGCUGCUCUGAGCACAUGGCAUGGGUACAGUGUGUUCCCAAAGACACUGUUACCUGUUAAACACAAGGCUCUGGGAACUAAAGGGCACCUGUCCACCCCAGGAAAAUAUUGGGAUAAGUUAACUGCUCAUGGUAUCCUGCCAAAGUGGUGACCAGAGUGGUGGUGUGGUCCUGUGCACUAGCUGGUGAGAGCCUGGUGGACAGCCUUCAGCUGGCCUGUCUCAGCUCAGAGAGUGAAGGGUCAUGGCAGCAUUGCCAGCUCUCCCUGGGAAUGGAGCAUCAAUGAAAAUUAGGUAAAACAGAAAAAACACUAAGGCUCUUGAAGGAUUUGCAUAAAAAGGAUUUGCAGCUGGAUCAGAAGUCAAAAUCCUUGGAAAUUUUUGCAUACACACACACUCAUACCUGCACACAUGCAUGAAACAUAAUGCUUUAGAUAUUAUGAAAUCAGAUUCCACAUCUGAGAAGGGAGAGGCCUGGAAGACCUACGGUUUUGUAAAACAUCAUUUGGCACUUUCCAUCUCAGGAUCUGAAAGGGAUGUUUUGGCAAUGCUGACAUUGUACACAGCAGGCUCCAACAGCAAGCACAGGAAAAUUAAUAUUGCUUCCCAUUUAAUGUAUGGCACCAAUACUUAGGAGGAGUUUCUUAGCAAGCCACACUAAUCUCCUAACUGAUUUGCAAGCUAUCACACAUGCAUUUAACUUUACCUUAAAUGAAACAAAACAGCAAUACAGUGAAGUAUUGUUGAAACCUGAAAACAGUUCACUCCACAUAAUUAAAUUUUAAUUCAAAAUGUCAUUGCUUAUGUAUGAUAGAAACAUUUUUUAUGAUCAGUCAGACAAUUUCUACAUAAUAGUUACCUUUAUUUGAAGGCAUAUUGACUCAAAACAGUAAAAAAUGCAAAUGAAGAUUCUUCACUAGCUAAAAUGAUGUCAAAUUAUAUAUACAAAUAGUAACAUAAAAGAAAAAAAAAAGAUUUGUCAAGUACAUCAAGUAAAGCUCUGGAAUAAUACAGAACUCCUUGCUGCCUUAAUCAUAAAGUUUAAUAGCUCCCAUUUAAAGAAAGAGGAAUUUAAGGCAGAGUGCAGUCCCAAAUACCACUCCCAUCUACUCUGAAAAUGGUGGCAGAGUAAUUUUUCAUGGGUCUGUGAUACAUGAACAGAAAGCACCCUGUGUAUUUGCUGCCUAACACACGAAAAGUGGAUUUUGCAUUUCAUAUUGGGACACUCAAACUGAAGGUGAGCAAGAUACUUCUGCAUUUGUAACAUCCACAGAAUUGCUCAUCCCUGUCCAUAACCUCUCAGCUGUGUUUUCCUCUUCUGUGAUCCAUGACUUGGCUGCCCCUGCCCUGUGAGGUUUCCAGGCACAGCACACACCCUGCUGUCCCACACUGCUGGGAGAAGUGAGACCCUCUGGCUCAAGCUGUGUUUAUUGAGUGCCCACUCUCCUCCUGCUGCAGCCCUGCUGGAGGAUCUCAAUCCCAGACGGGUGAGGCUGUGAGGAUAGGACUGGCAAAGGCUUUGGCUUCCUAAGGAAAUGGCACAUUCUGCCCAGAACACACCUCCACCAUUUGUUUUUCCUUUACUUCCUAAAACUUGCCCCAGCUUUGGUGCAAGGCAAUCAGCAUUAAGCUUCAUGCAGGAGAAAUACACAGCAAUUUGAGAAGUUCUCUGCAAUCCCCCGCCCUGCUUUAGCCACUGCCUCACUGCAGGCAGGUCAUGGAGGAGUCUGGUGCAAGAAGCACUCCGAGAGAUCCCCUGCAGAUGUUUUAUGAGCUUAGACCGCUCUAAAAUGGUUCUUGCUUCCACCAUAGCAGGCAGAUGUAAAGCCUGCUCUGUGCCAGCUCUGUGAGUGAGCAGGGUGUGUGGAUGUGCAAUAUGCUGAUAACAGACGAGGUGCCAGUAGAUGGCUCUCAAGAUAUGAGGCCUAUGGCUCGCACAGGGCUGAGCCACCUUCGUGCCUGGGGAGCACUGCUGCUGCAUGCCGGGAACAAAACAGCCACUCAGACUGCACCUGGGGACAGCACAGAACAGGGUGCCAUGCCACUGUGGCACCUUCUCCCCAGACAGGCCUAAAAAUAGCAAAGCUCUUAGCUUUGUUAGUUUUGAUAAUUCAAGGCAAAAAUGCACUCCUCACUAAAGCACGCUUGAAAUCUCCCUUUAAUUCUUUAAAUGAGAUUUAAGGGCUGUUUAAAUAGGCUGGGAAAAGCUGAGAUAAUGCUUCUGCAGGAGCCCUGGUAGUGUGUAAGCAGAGGUACUGCCAGUCCCAGGGGGGUUAUGUAGUUAAUAAGUCAGAUUUUCUUAACUAAACAGUUGAGCUAUGUCUAUUUAGAGUUGAUUUUCUCAAGCAUACAUGAACCAACACCCCUAAGGGGAGGGGGUCCAGGAGGGAUGCUCACAGUUAGAAAUUCUACAGAGGAUUGAAAUGAAUUUUUAGUACUGUGUAACUACAGCACAUAACAUUGAAUUGGGAGGAAGAGGAGAAGAGGAAGAGGAAGAGGAAGAGGAAGAGGAAGAGGAAGAGGAAGAGGAAGAGGAAGAGGAAGAGGAAGAGGAAGAGGAAGAGGAAGAGGAAGAGAAGAGCUCUCAUUCUCAGUUUAGACAGCAAUUGAUAUCUCAAGUCUAAAUUCAAAUGAAUGAAAUUAAAUGAAAAUUAAAUGAAUGAAUGAAAGUCACAUGAAUUGAGUAAAUAAAGAGAUAACAAAAGCAACCAAAUUCUUUUUGCCACCUAGUCAUUCUUAAAACAAGGAAGAGGGUUUGUACACCACAACUUUAUAUAGACAACUGGUCAUUUAGUGGAUGUACUAGAAAUUCUACUGGAAAUGUUAUUAAAUUUUUAAUUAAAUUUGGGUUUAUUGUUACUUUAAAUGCAAUUUUCCACAAAGCAUGUCCUGAGGCCUUUGCCAGUCAACUGUGAUACAUUUUCCUGGCCAGUAACCCCAGCCUAUAUAUCUUACACUCCUCCUCUUUCUUGGUUUCAUGUCAGGGACAGCUAGAAUGAGAGCUGACUAAAUAAUUAGCAAAGGGAAUACCACCUCUGUAUGUUUCUGUAGUCAUCAGGUUAGUAAGAAAACAAAACUAACUUUCAUAAUGUCUUUCCCUUUAGGUACCUGGCACUUUCCAGGAGCAAAGUAGGGAGAAAAUGUAAUUGCUAAAAUAUCACACAUUUAUUAUUAGACUAAUGAUACCUUUUUCUCUCCAUCUUGUCCCAUAAAGGCAUCUAUAGAAGAAAUGCAGGCUUGAAGUGUUUCACCCCCAUCAAGCAAUAGUAAGAUGAGCGUCAUUUAUUCCAUGGUACUCUCCAAAGCCUUGCAUGGAACUCUGCUCUCAGGUUUGAGAAGGAACUGUUGACCUCAAACGAUUUUAACUUACCCUCUGACACCAGUUGGUUCAAGAUAUGUAAUCAGCCUGGGAAGAACUAGAGGAAGAGCUCACAUCUUCAGAAGGAGGGCUCAGGAAGAGAAUCCAAAGCAUGUGAAGAGGCAGCAUCCCAGGACAGCUGGGAUUUUCACAGAACUGCUACUCUGCCUGCAGUUUGCUUUACAUGCCCUAUUGAUUGCAAUAAUAUACCCCCAGUAACUUUUCUCUUGAGAUUUAAUUAUAGAAUUAACAUCCCAAAUUUUCAAAAUUUCAACAGGCCUCCAAACAAAACCAUAGGAAGUAGGAAAAAUGCAUAUAUGAGGCAAUCAGCGGUUAAGAGCCACAGACAUAGGGAAUUGCAUCUAAUCCACUAAUUCCCAACAGCUGGAGAAAAGUCAUUACUUGUAGGCAAGGUAAGCCCCCAUGCCCUUUCAGAGCCACACUCGCUUUCAUGCACUCUUUCUGCAGGGAUGGGAUACAACAGCAGAACAGAGGUAGCUGUUCUGAUGGGGCACACACAUUACAAACUUAUGUCUUCAUAUGUAUAGUGUACAGGUUUUUUUCUAAUUUCCCCUCCCAAUUAAGUAAUUUUUCUUUAAAGCUCAGUAUUUUCAAUUGGUGGAAGUUCUGUUCUACUUAGUAUCACUUCACUUUCUCUUCAUUUUUCUGCAAUUCUCAAAGCAUCUCCCUUUCUGGGGAAAAAGAACCACCAAAAGCAACAACCAUAAAACCAAAACUCCCAAAUCUGAUAUGUCAAAUGCUAAAGUAAGGUUACUUCUAUUUAUCUAGAUGAAAAGAGAAUCACCCAUUUCAUAUACAGUAGGCACUCCAGGACAAAACCAGAAACUAAGUGGUUUACCUUUAUGUCUAGUCCUGGUCAUCUUACUGUUGUGCAGAGAAUAAUGAAAGACAACAAAGGCACUCUCAUACUGCCAGAUCACUUGACUUCUGUUUAAAUGCAUCCUUAAAGAUACAACUACCCCAAAUCUCAUCCCCAAGCAGGUCAACAGAAUACAGAGAUGGCAAAUAUCUAAGUGGCUCUUAGAAGAAUGUCCCUGGUGUUAUCCCUGAGCAACACUGUCUAUUACACUGCCAAACUAAUGAGGACCAAACCAGCAAAAAAUUCUGAGUGACAAAACAAAGUAUAUCUCCUAGCUCUGGAUGGGCCACUGAAUGAUCAUUCCUCUGCUCACAAAGUUUGGUUCCAAUUACACCUCUGAAUUGCUCAUUCCUUGAAGACAUCUGGUGUAAAUUGCUUUCUGAAAAGUAGCCACAAAUUUCACAAAGUUAUGCAGAUACAACAGCUGUUGUAUAUAUGCUCACCCAAAAGCGAGAAGUGGCAUUCUGCUUCUUCCCCAUCUUGGAACAUAAACUCACUUCUUUGCAUCUACUGUGCAAGCAGAAUGUGGGUUUUUUGUUGUUGUUGGAUUUGGGUUUUUUUUUGCUUUUUUUUGUUCUAUUUUGUAGGUUUUGUUCUUCCCCCCACCCCUCCCCCUUUCCUGCUGGCUCCAUUCUUUCCCCAUAAACCUAUGCCUGCAAAUUACAAAUGCUGUGUUGCUAAAUUCUGGCUUUAUACCUAGAAAGUGCUGCAAAAUCCUGGCUGAGGUUGUGCUGAGUGCUCGGCGGCUGUUUUGGUGGCAGCUGUUUUCUCUGAGUCACCUGGAAACCAGCUGUUCUUUAGCUGCCUUCUCCUUGGUUAGAGGAUGCUCACUGGAGGCAAUUUCUGGGAUUUGUGAUUCAUUUGCAGGAGAUUGCUGGACAGAUCCUGCUUUUCCCAUAUGCUGGAAGGCCACCUCUGCAAACAGCUGUGCCAUUUGGAAAGGUGUGACAAUGCUCUUGCUUUUGAGGGUUUGAUUAAUCAAUAUAAUGUGAAUUUUGUUCAAAACUGUAUCGGUCCAACCUAAAUUUCAGUUAUCAACAGGAAUGUCUCUGCACACUUCACUAAGCUUUGAGUUAGAUUGUGCUAAAUUCAGCAUCUCUGUUUUCCCAGCAGAUGAUGGUUGGAAACAAAAUUCAUGUGUGUGCAGAGAGAUCAGAAAAACAAAAUCUAUACCACACUCAAGCAAUGAAUAAACUAUAUCUGAGUUAGGGAUGUGGUUUGAUUCAUCUGUCAUUUAGACUGGCUUGGUGUCAGUAUCUCCUGACCUCAGCCAAAUGAUUCUGGCAGUCCCCUGAAGAACAGGGACAAAACAAAGCUCCAGUAUCUUGAAAUAGCAUAACAUGAGUUAUUGUGAUGGAGCUUUUAAUAAUAUACAAGAGACAUACAGUAUCCAUGUUUGGAGUAAAAUAAGGAUGGCAUUUACUCUAAAAUGAAUGGCUGACUUGGAUCCUGGCCCUACAAGAGUGAAUGGCAAAAAAAAUCUCCAACAAAACAACUCCACUCAUAUUUUUUAAACUAAAAUUUUAACAGGAUUCUUUUUCCUGUGAGAGAUAUGAAGAGGUAUCUUUGCUUACAUUAUUUUAAGACCUUUUAAUAAAUCCACAUGAAUUGUCAGUAUAUUUAUCUGAUUUGAUUUUAUAUGAUGGGAAAAGGGGAAAUAAAUGUGUUUAACAGAGAAAACCAAGCAGACAUCUAAAAUGAUGAGAUUUUUCCCAGCAUUUGCUGUGAUCAUCUGAUUCUGCAUCCCUCUGCCCUCACUCUUGUGUUUCUGUGCCUCUGUUCUUUCUAGAUUUUAUCUGACUCUGAGACUCAGCUCCUGUCUCUGGAACAGAGAUAGCACACCUAGGUUACGGUAGUCUAAGUAAUGAAAAAUGGCCAUUAGUAAGAUUGCAGGAAAAGAAAAUUUUGAAAUGUUCUAGCUAUAUAGUAACUGCCACAGAGUGCUACACACAACACAAAUUACGCCAAGAAAUGGACAAACCUCCAUGGACCUUUCCAGUUUUUCCCAGUUUCUUGGGGUGUUUAUUUUUUUGUUUUCCUUUAAAUUUCAUCAGUCCAUAUAAUGGAAGAGAUAUAUGCUGUCUAAAUAAUACAAUAAGUGUCUAAAUAUUUCUAGUACCAGGGGAUAAGGAGACAUUUUAAACACUUGAUUGCAGUAAGAAGCUGAAUACAGGAGCCAACACAGGUACCAUUCCUCAAUCCUCCUGGGUUAAGGAGAGGGACAAAUACUAAUACAAUGAAAAGUAAGCACAACCCCUACAAAAGCUGGAUCAACCCUUCUCCCAGGGCACUGCAAUCAGCAAUUCCUGAUGAAAGAUGUUAAACAGGAAAAUAUUUCCACAUGGCUUUGUGGACAGGUCUGCCCCUUCCCUGGGCUCAGUUCCACGAGUGAGAAAUGGGCUGGUGUCCUGCUGUCCCUGCCCGCCUGCCCUCCCUGGUGUGGGGCACUUCAAAACACUGCUCCUGGUAAGGAGGUGAGGCAAAGGAGGUGGGAGAGAAGGGAGAGCUUGUUCUUAAGGGAAAAGGAUUCUUCCAGUGGUAGAAACCAAUUGUCACAGAUGGGUAGAUACUCAGCUACUGCCUGCUUUCAGAAUGGUUUCUGCUCUCCAACACCUCCUGUUGCUUUUUUCCUCUACAUCAGCAAGGAUCGACUUUCUGUAACAGGGAUUUAUUCUGGAGAAAAGGCAGAAGCUGAAGGCCUUGCAGAAAACAUCAGAACUACUUCUGAAUAAAGUGCCACUGUGACCACACUCUGAUACCACACAAACACGGAACUAACACUGCUCCUGUAAAGAUUGUGGGAUUUGUCUUGUCUUUGUUGAACCUUAGGCUGCUGUUUCAUAUUCUAAUAGAAAUUAAAGAGCUAAUUACAUACAAUUUAGACUACACAUGAGGGACACAGGCUCAGCUUCCAGCUGAGCUGGGAAAAUUUUAAUUGUUUAGUUAGAAAAGCAAUCUAUUUGGAGACGUGCGAAACAACUUCUGAUUCUAGGUUAAAAGUCAUCAGAGCAAUUUAUGAUCUUACAACUAUUAAUUUCUUAACUUAGAUCAAGGAAUAGCAACUGUAAGGAAAAGGCAGUGACUGUGUAGAUUAAAUCAUUAGACCCACAGUCAGCAGAACUAAUGUCCAUUAACCCAAGUGGCAGCAUUAACACCCUUCUUCCUGGCACGGACCCACGGCCUCCCCCUAAUCUGCUUUUCUGGAAGAACACCUGGCUACAACAGAGUGAGACAAUUCCAAGAAAAAACAACCAAACAAACUAAGCAGAAAGGCAGCAUCCAUCUUAUUUGGCUAUGGGAUUUUCCACAGUGAUAUGGAGUCCAUCAGUGAUGGGCACAAGGGGAGAGUGUCCCGCCCUUCCCACCGGACUGCUCAGGACACUAAGGAUCGCAAAACCACUUUAUUAGGAAAGGACUGUGGGAAACUGCAGGGCAGAAGGAAGGAAAAGCACUAGUUUUCUGGCCAGCAUCAAUGUCACCUGCCUCUUCUCUCCUGCCUGGUCAAGUCACCCAAAAACCUGACAGACAGCUUCCAGCAGAGACUGGCUGUAGUGCCACUGGCAACCAAAGGACAUUAUUACACUGAAGAAAAAAAAAAAGAAGAAGCAGAGAAAUCUCAAAGGCAUUUUAUUUUUAUAAUGAUGAAGAAGUGUCCUCAUGUUCCAGUUAUGAAUGUGAACACACACAUUUUAGGGAUCUUUUAAUAAUAUUUACUCCUUAGCUAUUCUCAUUUCCCAAAAGUGCCCCUUUCUGGGUCUGCUACCAUCAGUUCUGUACAGUCCACAGUCAGCAAGGAAUGUCAUUUAAAAACUGCUAAUGUGUAGGAUUUAAGCAGCAUUUAUGUGGCUGACAGAUUCUGUCUUACUGUGCAGAAGGGAUAAGUAACAAAAACCAACAAUAAAUUAGAAACUUGCAACAACAGUGAGAUUUAACGAGAGCGCAUUCACAGAGAGCUGCCGAGGGCAAAUUAAACGAACCAGGAUGGAUUGCCAUCUGUUUUGGGCAGUGGCACUUGGCAAGGACCUAGGGCCAGAAGGGACUGGUGUUAUCUUUGCUGUCUAGGUCACCACACCAUGCUGCCUAGGAUAGGCUCAAGCCAGGGAUUCAAACAAAAUAGUUGCCUUCAACUUCUCCUCAUGCCAGAGCAGCACAAAGCAAAUACAUUUUGCAUAACCCUUGACAAGUUAUCUGCCAUAUUAAUCUGGUGAUUUGCUCAGUUGAGUCUCCAGAUUUAUCUGUUCUCUUUUAAUUGUGGCCAUGAUUCAGUCAUCGCAUCCAUUUUUGCUGAUAUCACUGAAAGUGUACCUCAUUUGUUCAGUAAUAUGCUCAUUUUAUUAAAAAGAUAAGGAAGCAAAUAUAAAAUGAAAGACAUUAAUAAACAUUGGACUGACUUAGUACAUCAAACCACCACAUGAGUACUCAUAAUUUAAGAAAAAUAACCACGUCAGUCACUGAAUUAAUAAUACAACUAAAGAUCUGGGCUCUAUUUUCUAGGGUCUAUACAAAUAUGUUAUAAAAAAAGAAAUACGCAGCCUCUGUUUUGAGGCAAAAAUAUUGGGUAACUCUUUCAACACCAAUCACUAAGAGAGAUUGCCUGAUAUAUUGGCAGAAAAUUCAAAAUUUCAGGUCCAAGAACAUCAUAAUACAGAAUAAAACACUUCUCCCCUUCAACCCUUCCACAGCCCUGACUGAACUGCCACUGAGCUUCACUGCUAGGGUGAAGAUCUGUUUGGUGAGAAGGGGCUGGGCAGGUCUAGAGCAAUGUGCUUUUGCCACUGUGCAGAAAACUGCUGGAGGACAUGAAGGUAAAGCACUCUGUGUCCCCUGUCCACCUGAAUGACAUGGGCUCAUGCUGCAUUUUAGCUGCAAGUGCAGUCUAUAGAUUAAUGGUACUGCUCAGACAGGGCAGUGGUGACUCUGGUCCCUCUGUUCUGUGGUGGGAUAGUAAAGCUGGAUCUUUCUGGGGUUUUUUUUCCUGAGUUCAGGUGCAAGGAAUACUCCUUGCCUAGAGUUUUCUAUUUCCUACCCAUCACAAAGAGGGCAGAGACAUGGAAAUCUUCAGGGUGAUGUUCCAUGACCUCUGAGGUCAUGUUAGAAUCUAUCAACAGCUCUCUUUGAAGAUAAACUGCUGGAGCUCUUGCCAGCACUACUUAAUAUGUACUCAUACAGUCCACUGACAAAGACCUGUCAGGGCAAUAAAAAUAAGAAUUCUGUCUUCAGUCUUUCCAGUUUCCCCAGCAUAAGUGUCAUAACACCAUAUUCAUCCUUCUCUCUUAAAUAGCAGCAAAGCUGUUCAAUGUGUCAGAGCUUUUGUUUCUUACUAGAGAAAGAAAAUUAUUGUAUUGGGGUGGAUUCUUUCAGUCCUUGUUACUACAGAGUUCAGAUACUGCCAUGGGAAGGGAAUAUUGCUACUGGGAAUAUUAUUUUUCUGGCCUCUUCUGGGCUCAAAAGUAAACAUGAAGCCUUUACUAGAUGCAUAUUUUCAAGGGACAUUUAUGUGGUACUUUAGAUCACAUAGAUACUGAGGUGAGAGGUGACUCUGCACAGGAGAGUGAAUCCUAUCUAACUCCAGCAUGUUUGGAUGUGAGAUCUUGAUUUUGCUCUUUGUAGAUGCAGAAAACAGCCCCUUCACCCAGCUUUACUGACCUCCAGCUCUAAACCACCAUGUGUCACAUUGCCUAAAACCACAAGGCUGAUCAAACACCAAGAUAUCAAUAAGCAGAGAAUUGCACCCUUGCUGCCUUCUGAGCCUCUGGAGAACAUUUAAGUUAUUUUGCAAACUUUUCUUCAUAUUCAAACAAAAGUCCAUAGAAAUACUUCCUUUAAACAAAAACAGCUUUUCACAUAAUCCUUAGAUUCCUGAGCUCUGUCUAGAAAAACACAUCCAAAUACCACAGGAGUCUGAAGAAAAGAAAAUAUGAGGAGUCAGAGCCAGCAACACUAGGAUUUUAAAUGAGAACAUGAAUUUCUCCGACAUGUGGGGAGAGUCAAAGAAAAGAGAAGGUGAGAACUGUGAUCAGGGCAGACAAGGGCAUUGCUGGAAAGGAAGAUGGACAAAGAAUUUGGCAGAAUUCAACUCACAGUCUGCCUCAGCUGAAGAAGAUAAAACUUGCCUUUUUCUUAGAGACCUGUUGUUAUGGUUUUAAAACUUUUUUUUUCCCCCAUCCAGCCUCCUGCCUAUCUUUCUACUGCAGAUUUAAAGAAAUAGGAGGAAGGUGCAUUGUGAGAUGAAGGACUGAAAAAAAUUGCAAAAAGCAGCAGUCCUUAUCAUUGUCUGCUCUCUUUCCCAGAUCCAUGAAGCAGGCUGUGAAGGAGCCGCUCUUUAGCCAUCCGCAGAGACGCUCCUGCUGCAGCCCGUGCCGUGUCUGGUGCCUCGCAGGGAGCAGGGUCCUGCUGUCCCAUUGCACAGGGCACACUGGGCAGCACGUCCCUCCUCAGGCUCUGUGGCAUGGCAGGGAGGAAGGCUGGCAAGGGAGCCAGGGAACAGAAUGCCAAGAGCAGGAAAAAGGAAGCAGGAAAACUACCAAGACAGACAGAGUGGAGGAGGCUGGAUGAGAAUUCAAACAGUCCCAGCCAAAAUGCGAAGCUGAAGCAGAACACUAUAUUUAACAGAACUGCUCAGUUGAAUGCUGCUGGAGAGCUCAAGUGUUGAAGGAUCACAGAAUUAGGGAGUAACUUUUAGGUUUAGUGCUCCUUAUCCCCUCUGCGAUGACCUUCACUGCUCACAUCCCAUUCAAAUGUAGGUAGGAACUUCCCCAGAUGGCAUCUUUGCACCUGUCAUUUCCUGGAGUGGUCAUACAUACCUAAUAAACCUUUUCAAAUAUUA